GGGAGGUAGUGACAAUAAAUAACAAUACGGGGUUCUUUCGGAUUUCGUAAUUGGAAUGAGUACAAUUUAAAUCUCUUAACGAGGAACAAUUGGAGGGCAAGUCUGGUGCCAGCAGCCGCGGUAAUUCCAGCUCCAAUAGCGUAUAUUAAAGUUGCUGCAGUUAAAAAGCUCGUAGUUGAAUUUCGGGACCAUCAUGUCGGUCGUGCCUCGGUACGUACUGGUAUUGUUGGUUUCUCCCUUCUGACGAACCAUGAUGUCAUUUAUUUGGUGUUGUGGGGAAUCAGGACUGUUACUUUGAAAAAUUAGAGUGUUUAAAGCAGGCAAUCGCUCGAAUACAUUAGCAUGGAAUAAUGAAAUAGGACGUUCGAACCUACUUUGUUGGUUUCUAGGAUCGACGUAAUGAUUAAUAGGGAUAGUUGGG
rnacentral:rRNA from 1 species